GGGGCCCGCUGGUGGCACCGCCCGCAUUCUGACGUCGGAGGCCGCGGUCUGCUGCCAACUGGGUGUCUCGCAGUGAGAAAAGAGAAAAGAGAAAGAACACCCCCAAUAGGCUCUUGUCACUGAGAUGCACCCUCAACCUCAGCCAGAUCAUGGGCAAGAAUGCUCCUGUUGUACUUGGGAGGUCUCCAGACUUGAAGAGAGAACCUUCCUAUGUGACCACCCUUACAGAGCAUCACUGCAACUCUAAUCCUGACGUAGCUUAGGCUGACUUCGGAGUGUUGCCUGCACUGGGAAAGAGAGGGCCUGCUGGCUUUUCUCCCCUCGCCGCUCAUCUGCAGCUCACCUCCUUAUCUACUCUUCACCGUAGUUGGCUGUGGAUGUGAUCUUCUCCACAGCAACACCUGUGGCCUGAAAGACAAACUGGGACCAAAAGAAAUGGAAUGAAUUUUCUGAAAUCACAGCUCUGUGAAAGAGAACCAGGAUUCCAAUACACAUCCCAAGGCUUUAAGGGCCUCUCCCAGAUGACUAUGGGUGCUUCGUUGCCCUCACUGAACUGGGGUUCAGAUACGCUGCUUCUUAGGAGACCCAGGAACUCUGUCCAUGGGUUUGUAGUGAACUUCGGAUGGGGCUAAGGACUGGGAUAAGGUACGGGAGGUGCUAAGAAGCUCUUUCUCUUUAGGAUACUUACCAUUGUAACCCGGCCACCAUGUCAUAAGGAGGCCCAAGCCAUUUGGGAAAGCCGUACAUCGAUGCUCCGGUCAAUUGCGUCAGCUAAGGUUUCUGCCAACAGCCAGCAUCAACCUCUAACCACGUAAGAAAACAAGGUCUCAGAUGGUUCCAACGCCAGCUUCAGAGUUUUCCAGCUGUAGCCUCAGACGUUGUGAGCCAGCAAUAAGCUACACCACUGUGCUCUGUCCAAAUUCCUGAUCCUUGUACCCUUCCAGUGAAAAAUAAUAAAUAUUGUUUUAAGCCAUUAUGUCUUGGGCAAUUUGUUUCAUGAAACAGGUAACGAAUAA